rnacentral:tRNA from 1 species
GGUGGGUUAGCUUAGUGGUUAGAGCUUAAGUAUUGCAAUCGGACGGUCCCGGGUUCGAAUCUCGCCAGAGGCAUAA